GUAUUUUUGAAUUAUGUUAUUCAUGAUACUUGCUUCAGACAAACUUGUUAAAGGUAGAUUAAUUAAAGAAAUCCGCUUUGCGAAUUAAAAAUCCGCGCAACAGACUCUAACAUUGCACACAAGGUGGGUAUGGAUUUUUUAAAAGUGCCAUAAACACUCAUUAUGAAUGAUCCUUCCGCAGGUUCACCUACGGAAA
rnacentral:misc_RNA from 1 species